CACGCCAGAUGUUAACUGAACACUUGAGUGAAAGUUCCUGUUGUUAAACCGAAAGCAAAGGUUAAAGCGGAAAUCUAGGUGACAUACAUGAGUUUAAGUCAAGUGACAGAAGUAAACCGAGCCAUGCUUAUUGCUCGUGGGAUACUUUAAGCUAUGAGGGAAACGAUAACUUGGGCCCGAAAGCAACUCCCUCAAGUCCUUAUCAAAGCCAUUCUGGGGGAUCCUCCUCACCGUGCCAGGUGGGCGGGCAACCCCCCCAAGUUGUGAGUGUAAUGACUGGAGAGCGAGGUGACAUCGGAGUUUGAAAUCGACACUACAGGUGGAUCUACUAAAGUCUUGGAUGAGUUUGAAUCUUAGUUACCACAGCUUCAAGCACAGGUAGGCGGGGUGGUGUGUCACGGGAUGCUGACACACCGGCGGUACAUCAGACGUCAUUUGAUGGAGCGUUAUUUAGGAGCGGCGCAACAGACGUCUGGUGUCGGAGUAUUGCCACCUCCCCGAGUGCUGGAUCUAUCACCCGCUUACCUGUCAGCUGUUUGUGAAGCCGCAUUUCCGGGAUCUCUACGGGGAUAGAUCUCAGCAUUUCUUCUACUUCCCGGGAAUCCUCGCCCGAGUCUGUACAGCCAGUGUGACAAAUCCACCCUGCGUGUGCGGGUUACCCCUUUCCCUCAGAAUGCGUGUCAGCUCCCUUCUCUGGUUUCCCUCCGUUUAUUUGUCGGCGUACAUAUUCCAUCCCGUGUAAAUAAGUUGGACACUGUAAAUAAACAGCACUUCCUGCA